CAGUCGCCACGGUAAUACGUAGGGUGCAAGCGUUAAUCGGAAUUACUGGGCGUAAAGCGUGCGCAGGCGGUUUGUUAAGACAGAUGUGAAAUCCCCGGGCUCAACCUGAGAACUGCAUUUGUGACUGGCGAGCUAGAGUAUGGCAGAGGGGGGUAGAAUUCCACGUGUAGCAGUGAAAUGCGUAGAGAUGUGGAGGAAUACCGAUGGCGAAGGCAGCCCCCUGGGCCAAUACCGACGCUCAUGCACGAAAGCGUGGGGAGCAAACAGGAUUAGAUACCCGCGUAGUCCCUGUCUCUUAUAC
rnacentral:rRNA from 1 species